UACGGGGGGGGCAAGCGUUGUUCGGAAUUACUGGGCGUAAAGGGCUCGUAGGUGGCCAACUAAGUCAGACGUGAAAUCCCUCGGCUUAACCGGGGAACUGCGUCUGAUACUGGAUGGCUUGAGUUUGGGAGAGGGACGCGGAAUUCCAGGUGUAGCGGUGAAAUGCGUAGAUAUCUGGAGGAACACCGGUGGCGAAGGCGGCGUCCUGGACCAACACUGACACUGAGGAGCGAAAGCCAGGGGAGCAAACGGGG
rnacentral:rRNA from 1 species